GAUGAACGCUGGCGGCGUGCCUAAUACAUGCAAGUCGAGCGAACAGACGAGGAGCUUGCUCCUCUGACGUUAGCGGCGGACGGGUGAGUAACACGUGGAUAACCUACCUAUAAGACUGGGAUAACUUCGGGAAACCGGAGCUAAUACCGGAUAAUAUAUUGAACCGCAUGGUUCAAUAGUGAAAGACGGUUUUGCUGUCACUUAUAGAUGGAUCCGCGCCGCAUUAGCUAGUUGGUAAGGUAACGGCUUACCAAGGCAACGAUGCGUAGCCGACCUGAGAGGGUGAUCGGCCACACUGGAACUGAGACACGGUCCAGACUCCUACGGGAGGCAGCAGUAGGGAAUCUUCCGCAAUGGGCGAAAGCUUGACGGAGCAACGCCGCGUGAGUGAUGAAGGUCUUCGGAUCGUAAAACUCUGUUUUUAGGGAAGAACAAAUGUGUAAGUAACUAUGCACGUCUUGACGGUACCUAAUCAGAAAGCCACGGCUAACUACGUG
rnacentral:rRNA from 1 species